rnacentral:rRNA from 1 species
AACGAACGCUGGCGGCGUGCUUAACACAUGCAAGUCGAGCGCGAAAGGGGGGGCAACUCCCCGAGUAGAGCGGCGCACGGGUGAGUAACGCGUGGGUAACCUACCUCCGGGCGGGGGAUAACUACUCGAAAGGGUGGCUAAUACCGCAUGAGACCACGGGGACUUCGGAUCCUGAGGCCAAAGAUGGCAUCGGCUUGCCGGUGCUGUCACCUGGAGAUGGGCCCGCGUACGAUAAGCUAGUUGGCGAGGUAACGGCUCACCAAGGCUCCGAUCGUUAGCUGGUCUGAGAGGAUAGCCAGGCACAAUGGAACUGAAACACGGUCCAGACUCCUACGGGAGGGAGAAGUGAGGAAUAUUGCGCAAUGGGGGAAACCCUGACGCAGCAACGCCGCGUGGGUGAAGAAGGCCUUCGGGUCGUAAAGCCCUUUCGGACGGGACGAACGCUUCGCGGGGCUAAACCGCGAAGCUUGACGGUACCGUAAGAAGAAGCACCGGCUAACUCCGUGCCAGCCGCCGCCGUAA